GGCGGGGUCACGGUGACGCAGCAGGAAAAGACCUGAGGCGCGUGCUGGAGACCAGUGGAGUGUCGCAUGAUGUCAUCUGAGGACGGCCAGCUGUUCCUGAACAUCUGCAGCCAGGAGAGGCGGAGUCAGAGCAGGACAGCGAAGAAGCAGAGAGCACCGAAGAGGAGG